rnacentral:piRNA from 1 species
UCUUAUUUAAGGGGAACGUAUGG